GGCGAAGGGGCUGAGGAAGCCCCGGGCAGCGCCGGGAGGGGGCGCAGGAGCUGCCGCGGGCAAAUGGCGGUGCUGGCCCGAAAAUAAGAUGGGUGUCCUUGCCCGUGUCAUUGCUAACAACUGCACGGCGUGGGCAGUGAUAGCUGAGAGAUGCGGCUGGAGCCAGAGGAAACACUCAGACCCGUUCAUGUCUAGCAGAAGUUUGUUUGUAGUUGAUGUGAGCUGGGUUUGCUCACAGGUUAGAGCCCAAACGUGUGUUCAGCACCACGCGUACUUAAGUGUUCCCAACAUUUAAGAGAGACAGCUUUUGUAAAAAUCCUUAGAGAAGUGCCACCACCUCGUUGAUGUCAGCUUAUCUGAAGAGACCUCUUGACCUGAAGUCCAGCAGAAAUUGCCAACAUAUGUUCAGAUUGUUUUUGUACAAGCAAA